GGGGGAUAUUGCACAAUGGAGGAAACCCUGAUGCAGCAACGCCGCGUGAGGGAAGAAGGUCUUCGGAUUGUAAACCUUUGUCCUUGGUGACGAAACAAAUGACGGUAGCCAAGGAGGAAGCUCCGGCUAACUACGUGCCAGCAGCCGCGGUAAUACGUAGGGAGCAAGCGUUGUCCGGAUUUACUGGGUGUAAAGGGUGCGUAGGCGGCUCUGCAAGUCAGGCGUGAAAACUAUGGGCUUAACCCAUAGACUGCGUUUGAAACUGUGGGGCUUGAGUGAAGUAGAGGUAGGCGGAAUUCCCGGUGUAGCGGUGAAAUGCGUAGAGAUCGGGAAGAACACCAGUGGCGAAGGCGGUCUGCUGGGCUCUAACUGACGCUGAGGCACGAAAGCAUGGGUAGCAAAC
rnacentral:rRNA from 1 species